rnacentral:rRNA from 1 species
UGGUCAAACUCGGUCAUUUAGAGGAAGUAAAAGUCGUAACAAGGUUUCCGUAGGUGAACCUGCGGAAGGAUCAUUACCGAGUGAGGGCCCUCUGGGUCCAACCUCCCACCCGUGUUUAUUUUACCUUGUUGCUUCGGCGGGCCCGCCUUAACUGGCCGCCGGGGGGCUUACGCCCCCGGGCCCGCGCCCGCCGAAGACACCCUCGAACUCUGUCUGAAGAUUGUAGUCUGAGUGAAAAUAUAAAUUAUUUAAAACUUUCAACAACGGAUCUCUUGGUUCCGGCAUCGAUGAAGAACGCAGCGAAAUGCGAUACGUAAUGUGAAUUGCAAAUUCAGUGAAUCAUCGAGUCUUUGAACGCACAUUGCGCCCCCUGGUAUUCCGGGGGGCAUGCCUGUCCGAGCGUCAUUUCUGCCCUCAAGCACGGCUUGUGUGUUGGGCCCCGUCCUCCGAUCCCGGGGGACGGGCCCGAAAGGCAGCGGCGGCACCGCGUCCGGUCCUCGAGCGUAUGGGGCUUUGUCACCCGCUCUGUAGGCCCGGCCGGCGCUUGCCGAUCAACCCAAAUUUUUAUCCAGGUUGACCUCGGAUCAGGUAGGGAUACCCGCUGAACUUAAGCAUAUCAAUAAGCGGAGGAAAAGAAACCAACAGGGAUUGCCCCAGUAACGGCGAGUGAAGCGGCAAGAGCUCAAAUUUGAAAGCUGGCUCCUUCGGGGUCCGCAUUGUAAUUUGUAGAGGAUGCUUCGGGAGCGGUCCCCAUCUAAGUGCCCUGGAACGGGACGUCAUAGA